rnacentral:rRNA from 1 species
GACGAACGCUGGCGGCGUGCUUAACACAUGCAAGUCGAACGGUAAGGCCCUUCGGGGUACACGAGUGGCGAACGGGUGAGUAACACGUGGGUGAUCUGCCCUGCACUUCGGGAUAAGCCUGGGAAACUGGGUCUAAUACCGGAUAGGACCCUGGGAUGCAUGUCCUGGGGUGGAAAGCUUUUGCGGUGUGGGAUGGGCCCGCGGCCUAUCAGCUUGUUGGUGGGGUGAUGGCCUACCAAGGCGACGACGGGUAGCCGACCUGAGAGGGUGACCGGCCACACUGGGACUGGGAUACGGACCAGACUCGUACGGGAGGAAGCAGUGGGGAAUAUUGCACAAUGGGCGCAAGCCUGAUGCAGCGACGCCGCGUGAGGGAUGACGGCCUUCGGGUUGUAAACCUCUUUCAGCACCGACGAAGCGCAAGUGACGGUAGGUGCAGAAGAAGGACCGGCCAACUACGUGCCAGCCGCCGCGGUAA